rnacentral:lncRNA from 1 species
UGUUGCAGUACUCAUAUGUUUAUAGGUAAUGUGAAGCAGUUAUAGCCUUGAAAGAGAUGACCAUAGUUACGCAAUGAAUAUUAUUACUUGUUACUAACACUCAUCUCACAAAAUUGUGUUUCAGCUUGAUUAUUUGAAUUUUUAUGGCCAGUACUGUCCAUUCUAUACUAUGUACAUACAUGUACGUCUAUAAACUUCCAAUGCUGCUAAAUUUAGUAACUCUGAAAAAACUCUUGAGCUACUUAUGUGCAUAUAUUGUUUUGUUGCUUGACCCCUUUACUCUCUCCUCUCUCUAGGAUGUACCAUUUAUACAUUAUUGAUGUUCCCUGUUUCAUUGGCACUUCUGCAAAAGAUGCUAUGUCUCACUGGCUCUGUCACACUGCAGAAGGAGAGCCUUGUGAUACAUACCUUUAACUAUCAUCAGGUGAUAUGGCUAGUACUGUAAGAUGAUAGAGCCACAGCAGCUAGGGUGCUAUUGAUGGAGAUGAUGCUCUGUGUCAAGAACUUUCAAUUUAUUGCUGACUUUUGCUAACAGUAUUCACUCAGCAAUGGAUUUAUCAUUCACAAGAGAAGAGGAAGCUGUUGAUAGAUUCUUGUAUUAGAGUGAAGAAGUAAUGAUACAUCAAGCAGAAUGAAGUGUUUGAUCACAGCGGCAAUGGUCAGUGGAGCCAGUAGUAUCAGAGGAAGAGGAGGAGGAAGAGGAAAGGAAAUACUAACUGUACGUGUACAUGUAUUAUUAC